GUAGGGAAUCUUCCGCAAUGGACGAAAGUCUGACGGAGCAACGCCGCGUGUAUGAAGAAGGUUUUCGGAUCGUAAAGUACUGUUGUUAGAGAAGAACAAGGAUAAGAGUAACUGCUUGUCCCUUGACGGUAUCUAACCAGAAAGCCACGGCUAACUACGUGCCAGCAGCCGCGGUAAUACGUAGGUGGCAAGCGUUGUCCGGAUUUAUUGGGCGUAAAGCGCGCGCAGGCGGUCUUUUAAGUCUGAUGUGAAAGCCCCCGGCUUAACCGGGGAGGGUCAUUGGAAACUGGAAGACUGGAGUGCAGAAGAGGAGAGUGGAAUUCCACGUGUAGCGGUGAAAUGCGUAGAUAUGUGGAGGAACACCAGUGGCGAAGGCGACUCUCUGGUCUGUAACUGACGCUGAGGCGCGAAAGCGUGGGGAGCAAACAGGAUUAGAUACCCUGGUAGUCCACGCCGUAAACGAUGAGUGCUAAGUGUUAGGGGGUUUCCGCCCCUUAGUGCUGCAGCUAACGCAU
rnacentral:rRNA from 1 species